rnacentral:rRNA from 1 species
AUUUGGCGGACGGGUGAGUAACGCGUGAGUAACCUGCCCUUGACUCUGGGAUAACAGAUGGAAACGUCUGCUAAUACCGGAUACUCAGCCUUGUGGGCAUCCACAGGGUUGGAAAGCUCCGGCGGUCAAGGAUGGACUCGCGUCCUAUCAGCUAGUUGGUGGGGUAAUGGCCUACCAAGGCGACGACGGGUAGCCGGCCUGAGAGGGCGACCGGCCACAUUGGGACUGAGAUACGGCCCAGACUCCUACGGGAGGCAGCAGUGGGGAAUAUUGCACAAUGGGCGCAAGCCUGAUGCAGCAACGCCGCGUGCGGGAUGACGGCCUUCGGGUUGUAAACCGCUUUCAGCAGGGACGAAGCGCAAGUGACGGUACCUGCAGAAGAAGCACCGGCUAACUACGUGCCAGCAGCCGCGGUAAUAAU